UGAUAGCGGUAUCGUUUGUGGUUUCCGUCACUUUAUUUUUAUCUCCUUUUCUUCUAAUUAAUUAUUAAAGAUAUGUUCUUAUAUUGAAUUUUAUUACAUUUGGAGCUCAUGAUAAUUGAUGGAAAGUUGAUGGAGUUCUUCCAAAAUUUAUUUACCCCAUUGGAAAUAUUUUCUGUAUUAUCUUUGAGAGAAUCUUCCUGCUGGAACGACCAUGAAGACACCGGUACUGGAACGGUUUCCUGGAUCGAGGAUAAAUCAAGCGUGAUCUGGAA